rnacentral:rRNA from 1 species
GAUGAACGCUAGCGGCAGGCCUAACACAUGCCAGUCGAGGGAGAAGCCCUUUCGGGGGCAGAAACCGGCGCACGGGUGCGUAACGCGUAUGCAACCUACCUUUCACAGGGGGAUAGCCCGAAGAAAUUUGGAUUAAUACCCCAUAAUAUUAUUGGAUGGCAUCAUUUGAUAAUUAAAACUGCGGUGGUGAAAGAUGGGCAUGCGUCCUAUUAGCUAGUUGGAGUGGUAACGGCACCCCAAGGCUACGAUAGGUAGGGGUCCUGAGAGGGAGAUCCCCCACACUGGUACUGAGACAGGGACCAGACUCCUACGGGAGGCAGCAGUGAGGAAUAUUGGUCAAUGGUCGGAAGACUGAACCAGCCAUGCCGCGUGCAGGAAGAAUGCCUUAUGGGUUGUAAACUGCUUUUAUAGGGGAAGAAUAAGGCGUACGUGUACGUUGAUGACGGUACCAUAUGAAUAAGCAUCGGCUAACUCCGUG